CUUUGUCUAUAUAUAUAUAUUUGUGUGUGUGUGUGUGUAUGUGUAUGUGUGUGGUGUGAAUUACAAUGCUAGAGUAUAAGUACAUGCUGUAUGUAUAUGUGUGUCUAUGUGAGGAUGUUUAUAUCAAUGUGAAUAUAUGAGCGUGUAUGUAUCAACACGUACGAAUCUGUGAGUGGCCAGAUCGGUCGGUGAAUAUUUUCUUGAACAAUGAACAAAACAUAAGAGGCGAAACAGACAGACACACCUCAAGAGAUCAGCGGACAUCAAAUGGUGGCUAAUGGAUUUCAGCUGCAGCUUCGGGUACCAGGAUUACCGUUGCAGUCCAAUUGUGAUUAUUGAAGGAUGUGACUAGAACGAUUGUGGUAAUGAUGAUGAUGAUGAUGUUAACGACGAAGAUGUUGAUGAUGAUGAUGACGACGACGACGA
rnacentral:misc_RNA from 1 species